rnacentral:rRNA from 1 species
UACGUAGGGGGCAAGCGUUACCCGGAUUUACUGGGCGUAAAGCGCGUGUAGGCGGCUGGCCAAGUGUGGUGUGAAAUCCCCCGGCUCAACCGGGGAACUGCAUUGCAAACUGGUCUGGCUAGAGUGCAGGAGAGGAUAGUGGAAUUCCCAGUGUAGUGGUGAAAUACGUAGAGAUUGGGAAGAACACCAGUGGCGAAGGCGGCUAUCUGGACGGUUUCUGACGCUAAGACGCGAAAGCGUGGGGAGCAAACAGG